GACGAACGCUGUUUGCGUGCUUAACACAUGCAAGUCGAACGGAAAGGCCCUGCUUUUGUGGGGUGCUCGAGUGGCGAACGGGUGAGUAACACGUGAGUAACCUGCCCUUGACUUUGGGAUAACUUCAGGAAACUGGGGCUAAUACCGGAUAGGAGCUCCUGCUGCAUGGUGGGGGUUGGAAAGUUUCGGCGGUUGGGGAUGGACUCGCGGCUUAUCAGCUUGUUGGUGGGGUAGUGGCUUACCAAGGCUUUGACGGGUAGCCGGCUUGAGAGGGUGACCGGCCACAUUGGGACUGAGAUACGGCCCAGACUCCUACGGGAGGCAGCAGUGGGGAAUAUUGCACAAUGGGCGGAAGCCUGAUGCAGCAACGCCGCGUGCGGGAUGACGGCCUUCGGGUUGUAAACCGCUUUCGCCUGUGACGAAGCGUGAGUGACGGUAAUGGGUAAAGAAGCACCGGCUAACUACGUGCCAGCAGCCGCGGUGAUACGUAGGGUGCGAGCGUUGUCCGGAUUUAUUGGGCGUAAAGGGCUCGUAGGUGGUUGAUCGCGUCGGAAGUGUAAUCUUGGGGCUUAACCCUGAGCGUGCUUUCGAUACGGGUUGACUUGAGGAAGGUAGGGGAGAAUGGAAUUCCUGGUGGAGCGGUGGAAUGCGCAGAUAUCAGGAGGAACACCAGUGGCGAAGGCGGUUCUCUGGGCCUUUCCUGACGCUGAGGAGCGAAAGCGUGGGGAGCGAACAGGCUUAGAUACCCUGGUAGUCCACGCUGUAAACGGUGGGUACUAGGUGUGGGGUCCAUUCCACGGGUUCCGUGCCGUAGCUAACGCUUUAAGUACCCCGCCUGGGGAGUACGGCCGCAAGGCUAAAACUCAAAGGAAUUGACGGGGCCCCGCACAAGCGGCGGAGCAUGCGGAUUAAUUCGAUGCAACGCGUAGAACCUUACCUGGGUUUGACAUGGAUCGGGAGUGCUCAGAGAUGGGUGUGCCUCUUUUGGGGUCGGUUCACAGGUGGUGCAUGGCUGUCGUCAGCUCGUGUCGUGAGAUGUUGGGUUAAGUCCCGCAACGAGCGCAACCCUUGUUCACUGUUGCCAGCACGUUAUGGUGGGGACUCAGUGGAGACCGCCGGGGUCAACUCGGAGGAAGGUGGGGAUGACGUCAAGUCAUCAUGCCCCUUAUGUCCAGGGCUUCACGCAUGCUACAAUGGCUGGUACAGAGAGUGGCGAGCCUGUGAGGGUGAGCGAAUCUCGGAAAGCCGGUCUCAGUUCGGAUUGGGGUCUGCAACUCGACCUCAUGAAGUCGGAGUCGCUAGUAAUCGCAGAUCAGCAACGCUGCGGUGAAUACGUUCCCGGGGCU
rnacentral:rRNA from 1 species